ensembl:lncRNA
CUUUGUUCAGGGACCGGGGAUGGCUUGGCCACAGCCCGCCGGGACUGAAAAGCAGCUCGGGGAGAAAAUUCAGGGCAGCACUGGCAGAGGCUGACCACGGCCUGCAACGGGCACGGUGACGGAGGACCCGGCCUCGCCUCUUGGCAGCAGCUGCUUCCCGAGGGCUCGGGGCGGCGUUGCUCCUGGGAGAGGCCCUCCCAGACUGGAAGAAGCUGACCUGCUCUGAGUCGGGAGUGCAGUCCUGGGAGGCCACAUGGAAACCUCAGUCUCUUCUGGGGAAAAUGAAUCUCAGAGAGAAGGAAGGACUGGCUGAUAUGUCUGAACCCGAGUUGUGUCUCCAGAGCACGUUCCUUGCAGAGGUUCCCUUGUAGGUGCUGCAGAGGGACGAGGGCCUCCUGCACACCACGGCGCCUGCUGCACUUCAGGAGCUGUGAACGCCGCAGCCACCAGCAGCAGCUUCCCCAGAAGGUCUCAAAUCUGACCAAGCAGCUGUUGAACUUCCCUGGCCUGGCAUCUCCUGCCCUCUCCUGAAGGUGUCUGCUUCCUCCAGGACAGGAGGUGCCUCGGGGCUACCACUACUGCUCUGCUGGAUGACGCCAGAGAUCUGGGGCCUGUGUGCUGAUUCCUGACCACUUCUGGGAAUUACUGAAGAUGCCUGGAUGGAGGGUGUGUGAGGAUGAGAGGAAGGAUCCCAGCAUCUUUCUCUUAGAGGCCAGUAAGACAGGCAGGCGAGGCGGCAGCCUGCAAGCAGGAGCCCCGGGCAGUCGCUCCAGCCAGGAGCCUGGUGCAGACAAUGGUUCAGCCAGUACCUGCAAUUUCCAGGAAAAUCAAUUUAGAUGACAAAAUCAAAAAGGUGGAAUUGGAGUGAAGAAAAUGGCCCAGAGCUGAGUGUCUUCAAAGGGAACUGGGGCUUUCAGGCAAGGAUUUCAUGUUUUAACAAUUAAAAUAUUUUAUUAGCACCUGUUUGCGGUAUACGAUGUUUACAUUCACCUUAGGGAGUAGAUACAUUUACUGGAUGUAUCUUAAUUCUCUUUGAGCUGCUUUCUGUCCCCUUACCUUUACUGCCCUUUUGUGCCUACAUCCCCUUCCCACAUUUUCAUUUUGUUUAAGUUCGUGUUUGUGACGCAUAGUGACUACAUUCACGGUGCGUGGUUGGUACGUGCACAUGACACAUCCUCAUUACAUCUGCGUCCCUCUGACCUCCUCCUUUCCCCUGCCCUCCAUUCUCUCGCUCCCCUCCCCGUUCAUAAAGGAUCUAUCUUCUCGUUGCCUUUUACCUUUCAUUUUGCUCUGUACUUUAUUUUUUAGUUUUUUGAGACAUGGUCUUGCUGUGUAGUUCAGGCUUGCCUGGAACUCACUAUAGAGCCUAAGCUGGCCUCGAACUUAGGGCGAUCCUUCUG